AGAAAUGUUAUAUUGUCAAUUAGUGACUUUCUUGGCAAUAUUCGAUUAUUGCGCAUUCUCAUUAUUCACCGAGAGCCCUUUGGAUCUACCUCCAGGGUUGAAUGAAUUCAUUUCCGUGGAACUGCUCACUUCAAUAACGACUUCCAUAUGUCUGAACACUGAAACCUUAUCUCUGUCACAUAAUCUGCUGGCACACACUUCUGGAACAAUCCAAUCUAUAUCAAAAGCAAAUAAACACGCGCCUCUUGAAAUCAUAACCUACCCCUCAGCCAUCGCCAUCGCCACCGCCACGCCCACUUGGCCCUUUGCCGCCCACUUUUUAACCCCCUGAUGCAGCAGAGAAGAGCCAAGCCAUGCCCAACAAUUGUAAGUUCGUUCGCCGGGCCUGACCCAAUUCAAGUUGUACUGUACAGUGGUGUUGUCUGUGCUGUAACUAUAUAUCCGUAAGUCAACUAACCGGAGAGGAGGAUCCAGAAGGACCAGCAGCCCGCCACCACCACCUUGUUAGGUCUUAAUGAAGCAACGCACGUAAACAAUAAGCAAACUUUGAAGCGAAAAUUUGGCGCAAAUAACGUUGCCAGUGCAGAGAGGAUGGCAAAAAAAAGAACGACUGGAGGAAGGACGACUGGCAGGGGUAAGGGACAGAUACGGAUACGGAUACGUGCGGCGUGAGGCAGGAACUGGCACGAAGGUCGUGGGCCCCUGGCAGGACCCCUUAACCCUCCUCAGGCUUGAUGGGUUGCAAAAGUUUCGCUGCUGUAACAAGUUGUUGGGAAUUAGUUGCGAAAAGUGUGGCAAUGCCGCUCCGCUCAGCUCAGCUCAUUAAUUUUAAGGCACAAAAACGGAAGCGUGCAGCCGGCUUCCGGAUACCGUACUCGACCAUGACCGGAGACAGCGGCACGGCUCUGACAUCAGAGACUCUGGAUUUCUCUGGCUUUCUGCAUUUGUUUUGUCUACAGAGGGAGAAAUGUGAUUUUAAGUGGUUUUGUAAGGAUUUGUGUUUUUUUUUAAAUACGAUUUUAUUAAACUAAAAAUAGUAGAAAGGACAAUUGAGAGACUAAUUGUUAGAUAAUUAUGCCUAUUUUUCCACAGUGCAUGUUUGUUUCUUUGGCUGCCACAUUUGAGUUAUGGCGAAAAAAUUUGUUUUCGGCCUUUUUGUUGCUUUUGGCCCUCUUAAUAAGCAGGCAGAAACUUUUGGAGUGCGCGAAAUAUUUGGAUGUGGCAUGCAAUGAAGAAGGGGAGUGCCAGGGGCAGUGGCAGGUCAAAGCUAUGUGGGGCAACAGCUGAUGCUGAUGCCACAACCACUUUCCUUCCACCAACUGGUGGUGCAGCAUAGAGACCAUUCCUCAGCUCGCACAAUGAAUAGGAAAUUAAUGUAGGUCGAAAUGGCAGAGAAUGCUCUUGAAAUAGAUUAAUUAGUUAAUUGGGUUGGAAGACUCAAAGCCAGAACUCUGCACAGAAGUUCCUGGCAUCCUUGAAGAAUAUUUAAAAAUUAUAAGCCGACAGAGAGAUGAUGAAUUAAGAAACUGCAUUACUAAUGGCUCUGAUUGAAUUUAAUUCAAGUCAUUAAGUGGCUGUCUUAUUUGCUUUGUUUUUGGAAAUCAGUUUAAAAUAUAGGAAUGCCUGACUGGCUAAGAAUCCAGUUGAAUCCCCCUGCCCUUGGCUCAGAUAACUUGGCUUUGUCCUUUGCCAAAAAAAUAAACCAUCGGGAGUGUUCAUUUGAGUGGCGUCGUCUCCCUGUUUUGC